rnacentral:lncRNA from 1 species
UGGGGGUUAACACUACACAACCACCUCCUAACUUAUGUUCAUUCUCUUUUCUUUUUUUUUCAAAAGCUCGGGAAGCGAGUUUCACUCAAGUAACAAUCCCAAUGCCUACACAUAAAUAAAGACAGAAGUGUAAAAAUGCGAUAAAGAAAAAUAAAGGAAACAUACAAAAAAGAAGAAGAAACAACAAAGCUAACAAACAAAUGAAAAGCUAAAUAAACUAGGAUGGUCUCACUUAGGUUGUUGUACUUAGUAGAGUCUCCAGCUGUCGCGGUGCAAGAAAACACUCAGGUGCAUCACACGCUCAGGAUGACAACAGAGUUGCCACCGAUCUUUAUUUGUUCCAAUGGAAUGGGAAAUAUCGAAUAAAACCCAUUAAAGCUAAGGGAAAUGGUCGUCGCAACCAUAUCAGGUUCAAGAGUCAGUUAUACAAGGGUAAGGUAUUAGUAUCUCUCACAUCUGUUGUACUCAACGAGGCUCAUUUAGUUAGUUAUGUAAAUGAGUGUUAGAGUGAAUCAUUUGUAAUCUUCUACUAAUUGAGCGAGAGAAAAGAGAAAAAGGGGACUAAACCUAAGUUUUUUAUUAUUGUGCUCGCCAAGAUUUUAGAAUCCUGUGCCUAUGUAUUCUCAUAGUAGAAAACCAUGCGUUGGUUGAUUGAUUUUAGGGAGUGAUGCUUUAGACAUUUCGAGUGGUUAACAUUUCGCCUGCUGCCCUCUUGGAGGGUAAAGCGUUUGUUUAUUUCACGUCGAAUGGAUCUCAUCUUAGCGGUUAAACAUUGCUUGUUGCUCGCUCUUGAAAGCUGAAGCGUUAGUUUGUUUCACAUUGAAUGAAUCGCAUUUGAGCAGUUAAACAUGGCUUGUUGCUCACUCUUGGAGGCUGAAGCCUUUGUUUGUUUCACUUCGAAAUUGCUAAAACACACUCAUUUUUGAAAAAAGAUUUUCAAAGUCGCGCAAGGGAGACAAAAGAAGUUUGAUUCGUUAAGUUGAUUUUAUAUGGAGUUAAGUAAACGUUUGAGCAUAGGUGUGCACCAAGCGCUCGUUUACCCAAGAUAUUCAAAAGUAUGUGCUUCCAAUUGUCACUUGUUUUCCAAGUUUAUAAAAAAUAAGCUUUCCGGACUUUAAGUAAACAUUUGAGCAUAAGUGUGCUCCUAGCGCUCGUAUACCCAAGAUAUUUUCAAAAGGAUGUGCUUCCAAUUGUCACUUGUUGUCCUUGUUUAAUUAGAUUAUUUUAAGGAGAAAGACCAAGGUAUUCAAGAGGCAAGCACCAAUUGUCACUUUGUCUUUCGAUUUUAUUAAGAAAAAAGAAUUUUGCGCAUAGAACGACUUGAUGUUGGAUCAAUCAUUUCAAGUUGAUUUAUGAAAAUAUUUCAGUUAAGUGAAAGAGGUACACGAUAUUGGAUCAAACACUCACGUUGCAUUUUGAUUUGUGAAAUAAAUUGCAUUAACAAAGUGAAAAUUAUUUUAAAGGAUUUGAGCAAUGGUUUGAAAUUGAAAUUGAUUAAAAUUAUGGUGAAAUGUUAGUGAACAUGAAAGUGACGUGAGAAGUUAUUUACAUGUACGAUGUUACGGAGAUGGUUUUCUUAAUUAAUUAAAUUAAUGUGGUGAGAUCGAGUAAUCAAAUUAUUUACUUGGCGAAUAAAUAAUAAAAAAUGAAUAAUAAAUCCAAAAAAAUAUUAAUCGAUAAACUAAUGAAUGCCUUAGGUUAUCAAAUUAAUCAAAAGAAAUAAAAUAAAAAUUAACAAACUACCAACAUAGAAAGCAAACAACAAGGGGAUUGCAUACAUUGGCAUGAGGUGUGAUAAGAGUGGGAUCUUGGUCUAAGGCCCAAAAUGUCUAACCAUAUAACUAAGUAAAAUUUAAAAUCAAACAAUAUAUAUAUAUAUAUAUAUUGAACAAGAAAGAAGAAAAAAAAACUAUUAAUAAGAGAGAGAGAGAGGGACGAAGUGUCAAGGCUUAUGAAGAGAGGAAGAGUUUUUCAAAUUUCAAUUGGAUCCAGUGGACUCAGACACGUGGCAAUGAUUUAAUGAAAAUAAAAAUAAAAUUAACACAACUAGAUUAUACCUUCUAUCUCUCGUGACUCUUCUUCUUUAUGCAUCAGAAACAAAACAAGCUCAUUUCUCAACCUCUCGAAACUACUCUUUUAAGAAGAACAAAAUACCAUGAAAAGCUUAACAUUCAACACAAGAUUAAACUUACAACCUCAUAAAGAAAAGCAAAGAAAGUAAAUCGAAGGCAGAAAAAGUGGCUACCUAUAAUGAAAAUGGUGGCCCGGUGUUUCCGGCACGGAGGAGGUCGGUGAACAGCGUUGCAAAGAUGCAGGGCAGCGUUGCCAGUCAUGCGCGGUGGUGUGACAUCAUUGACGGAGGACUGGAAGUUGGAUGCUUCGGCGGUGAUGUCGCAUGCGAUGUGGUGUUGUGUAGGAGGCAACGUGAAUACCAGUGGCUAUGCAGAUAUGUGGUGCUCGUUGCUCGCUUUUCGGCGAGUUGUUGGUUGUUUACAUGUUGUGUGGUGAUUUUGUGAUGAGCUAUGGAUUGUGUUUGCGGUGGAGUUACAGAUUGUCACGGUUUAGUUAUGAAUACAAGGUAACAACACACACUUAUCACCACCAAAAGCCAUUUCAAUCACCAUAAGGGCAUUGGAUUUUCUCUUUUUAAGAUGAAUUCUUCACACCCUUUUUAAAAUCACUCACUUGAAAAGUGGCAGGAAGUACACUUGGGUGUUUGUGCUUUCUACUUUGUGUUUCAGAAAAAUUGAAAGAGACCCAAAUUCCUAUAAAGUGUAAAUACGAUGUUUUUAUGGAGAAGGAUGGAGAUUAAAGGUGAUGUUGGUCGUGAUAUGAAAAAUGGUAGAUUGUUUCAUGUAUGUGUUAGGUUGGUAAUGAUGAUUAAGGAUUGUUUUGAGUGGAGAGUGGAGCAUAUGUGAUGGUUUGUGUUUAUGUGUUGACAGAGAAAAAGUGGUGAUGAGAAUGAUGAUGAUCAUGGUGUAUCGAAAAGAAAAAAAUUAUGGUUGUUUUUGUUGUGAUGAAGGUGAUGAAAGUUAUGAACCAAAUCCCUAAGAGAGUAGCGUGAUGUCCCUUUUAAGAAGAAAAAACCGAUAGAGGUGUAUUGUGAAGGAAGUGGGCAAUCCCUCUUUUUCUGAUUCAUUGCCAACUCCUCAUCUUGCAUUCCAAUCAAAUUGUGUUUCUCCUCCACCAAUAGAGAAAGAGUCCACAAAAUGAGACCCACUCAUUUCCAUCUCACUUUAAGAGAUCUGAGAGAUAUUUUGACUCUCUCUUGGAUUAAUUACACGCGUUUUAGGGAGAGGGUCCCCUUAUUGGACAAACUUGUGGCACAAAACUUAUUGGAGGGUUUCCUAAGUGUCUAACAAUAUCC